GACAGAGGGUGCAAACGUUGCUCGGAAUUACUGGGCGUAAAGCGCGUGUAGGCGGUGCCGCACGUCCGAUGUGAAAGCCCGGGGCUCAACCCCGGACGUGCAUUGGAUACGACGGCGCUGGAGUCCUGAAGAGGAGGGCGGAAUUCCCGGUGUAGAGGUGAAAUUCGUAGAUAUUCGCAAGAACACCAGUGGCGAAGGCGGCUCACUGGCCCGAUACUGACGCUGAGACGCGAAAGCGUGGGGAGCAAACAGG
rnacentral:rRNA from 1 species